GCCUAACACAUGCAAGUCGAACGAAGUAGCAAUACUUAGUGGCAGACGGGUGAGUAACAUGUAGGUAUCUGCCCUUUGGCCUGGAAUAACACGAGGAAACUUGUGCUAAUACCGGAUAAGUCUUUACGGAGAAAGCUUUAUGCACCAUUGGAUGAGCCUGCACUUGAUUAGUUUGUUGGUGGGGUAAUGGCCUACCAAGACUGUGAUCAAUAGCUGAUUUGAGAGGAUGAUCAGCCACAUUGGGACUGAGACACGGCCCAAACUCCUACGGGAGGCAGCAGUGGGGAAUCUUGCACAAUGGGGGCAACCCUGAUCCAGCAAUGCCGCGUGUGUGAUGAAGGCCCUAGGGUUGUAAAGCACUUUCACUGGUGAAGAUGAUGACGGUAACCAGAGAAGAAGCCCCGGCUAACUUCGUGCCAGCCGCCGCGGUAAUA
rnacentral:rRNA from 1 species